UCGACCUCAAAUCCGCGCUUGUUUUGAUGUCUUCACCGGGGAUUUGUCCCGCGGACCAUUUCGCUGUUUAACGGAAAAGCAAUAGUGCACGUCAAUUAUCCAUCUGUGGAAAAAAAAACACUCCAGUGAUUGAAACUUAAAAUACCCCCGGAUUUGGACUGAAACAAACUGGACAGGCAACCCCCGGCUCUUUCCCAGGAGUGCUGAUGGAGGAACGGGGACUGCGGUCGGUUAACCCCCGGGUCCAAAUUAUCCACAGCCCCCACAAAAAGGGGACUAUCCUCGGGUACCGGAGAGGCUCACUCCCCGUGGUGCUUCGCGUCUCAGGUUAACAACAGGUUAGAGAAAACAAAACAGGAAGGAUGAGAAGUUUUAUCAAGAAUAUCUCAGGACUUCGUGUUUCCUUAAAUUAGUUCAUACGGCGGGAAAGAGUAGUUAGCGCGAGCCAGAAGAAAGUGAGCACGAGCCACAUAGUGAGCACGAGCCAGCCGUUGGUCUCAUCGCCGCUAAUGCGACAGGGAGGAAGCUUUUUCUCCUUUCCUGCUUUUUUCCACUCCUCCAAAAGUCCGUGGAGGAAAAUAAACAGUUACUUCACCCUCUUUUCCGUAUCGGUUCACACUCACGGGGCUCUGUGCCAGCUGCAGGCGUCGUUUUUUAGCCGAUUUCCCCGGUCUCGGCGCCCCCGUUGAGGCUUCUGGGAAGCUGAACCAAGCGAUGCGUCUCCCUUAACUGAACACCUGCCACUCUUCGACACAGACUUUGGGGAAAGAGAGGGCCAUUGUCCAGCUUUUGCUCAAUAACUCAACAAGUUUUCGGUCCAGCGGGAAUUCUGUAUUCAUGAGAAUUAAUCGCCUUCCCCGCUAACGUUCGUGUUUUUGGCUCACUUUCUCCGUUCAAUCUGUCCCUCGAUCUAUCCCAAACUCAAAAACCAAACUUCUAUUCACUAUCAUCCGUAGUCGCUGAUUGGUCGAACUCAGUACCAUCGCUGUUGCUAUUGGACCAUACACAACAGGGGGCGGGACCUACCUCAAGCAUUCAGAGUGUGGUGGACGGCGCCCCCAAACCCCCACAAAAUAUAGGGAAUUAGUUUACUUUUUUCCUCCAUGAACAGAGGAUGGAUUGUCCGUUUUAAUUGUUGAGGGGCUUUAUGUUAUUAGUUUGGCCAAUAAACUUCACUUUGAAGAAAUCCUCUGUGUAAAAUGAUGGGAAAGCUGGACUAAACUGAAAAAAGACAUAGCCUGGGGAUUUUUCACCUUGCAUACUUCAAAAGACGGUUGACUGUGUCUUAAUAAAGUGAAGAGGAACUCUUAAGUACCUCUGCUGAUCCAGAUACACACACAGCCACAUGUUUUAUUGCAAAAUAACUCCCCGGAGCUUCCUCUGUCACUACAAGUGAUAACCUAGUUUCUUUCAUGGUGAUGGUCAUUAAAUGGCGCAUUAAUAUUAAAGCCUACAUCACAGUGACCUUAUCUUUUAUUGCCUCAAUAAAUCCUCUGAGGCAAACUUUCCAUCCCAAGUAGCCAAAUAGUCACUCUCUGCCGUCUAACUGUCUGCAGCCCAUUCUUCAUAAGCACCUUUACCUUAGAUCAUCCAUUUGUCUUUCCAUCAAGGCUUAUUCAGUUUCUAACUUUGUUUCCAGAGUAGCAGCUAAUGCUGCUCGGAGUUUCCAUGAAAGUGUCCUGCUGCUCAGUGUGCCAUGCCAAACCAAACCACUCUGGAAUCCACAUUAACUCACCAAACUCCCUACUUUCUGAUUCAACAAACUGCAAUCCCAACUAGAUUAUAAUAUCCAAAGAGAGGCGUCUGCAGGAAAAUCCCCAUCAAAAAAAAGAAGUAAAUAAACUUGAGGAAUGUGAUGACUCUGGAGCCAAUCAUGUGUUAUAUGUAUUCACACAAAGUCUUUAUAACUACAUUCGGUUAAAUUUUGGCAAGAUUAAAAAAAACACAAUCCUCAUUUUCAUAAUUUUUAGUAACUAAAUAAUCCAAGAUUCUUCCUGUUUCUUAUAAUAAAUUCAUUUACCAAGAAUUGUAUUUCAAUUAAGCAGUUUGAAGACGCUCUUUAAACCCUGAACAUCUCAUCCACUGAGGUUAGGGUAAAUAAGAAGGCGUACCGUUGUAGGGGGUUGUCUUAGAUGUAUCUUAGUUUCAUGAAAAUUAGGGGAGAAACAUUUAUUUACAUACCACUGAAUUUCAAAAGCAAAUGAAAAUAUUUGGAUCAAACUGGAGGAAUAAAAAAGCGUUUGAAGAAUUGAGAAAAUAUGCAGUUUAUUAUGUAGAAAAUGGUCCCUGACUUAAACUAGAGAAUAAGAUUUACGGCACAGUGAAACCUUGGUACUGAAAUGUAAAUGUGGAAAACUGCUCUUAGAGUCUUUUCUAGUCUAUUAAUAAAUGUUUCAUAUAAUUAACACCCAGCAAGAAACCUUUUACUGUCCAUCAAAGCUCGGUUCUCCAGCAUUUCUCUACCGUACCAAUUUAACCAGGCUGACAGGGAUGUUGGAGUUACUUCCUCUCUGUUUCAGUACAUGGAUAACUUUUGUCAGAAUGAUGUCGACACCCUCAGAAAAAAAUCCAGAAAGUUUUCAGACACCCCUGCCUCAGGUGACCGGGCACCUUUACUUGAAGUCGACCGUAUUUCUGUCACAAAUGUCACAAACUUUUUUUUAUAGCCUUGUGUAUGUCAGCUUUGAGGUGCACUCUCUUUUUUGCUUGACUGCACAACACAAAACCCCUCUGGGUUUCUUUUUCUCACCUAUUAGGUGCUAAAACUUGAGCAGCUGCACACCUGGCUGACCUGUUCUAACAAACUACCUGCCCGCUGCUCUUUUCACCUCUGGAUAUUGACCUCUUUUUCUCUCUCCCUUAGUCGCCCACCUCCGCCUCUCUCCUCACCGGGAAAGCAGCGAUGUGAUUUUUGACACAGAGACAGCCUGCUCCUCAACUUUGGGUGUCAGCCAGUUGCUAUGAUACCAUCAAGAUUUUACCAUCUUCAGUCCUACUCGGAUACAACUGUGUUUUCUGACUCCCUCUACAUGGUUUCUUUUACUCUUAAACUGCCCUCUGCUCUACUUUCAAUGCUGUCCUUGAG